rnacentral:rRNA from 1 species
GAUGAACGCUGGCGGCGUGGAUAGGGCAUGCAAGUCGAGCGAGAAAAGGGGAGCAAUCCCCUGAGUACAGCGGCGCACGGGUGAGUAACACGUGGGUAAUCUGCCCUGGAGUGGGGAAUAACACCGGGAAACCGGUGCUAAUACCGCAUACGAUCACAGAGUCUGCGGAUUUUGUGAUGAAAGGAGCAAUUCGCUCUAAGAGGAGCCCGCGGCUGAUUAGCUAGUUGGUGAGGUAAUGGCUCACCAAGGCAACGAUCAGUAUCCGGUCUGAGAGGACGGUCGGACACACUGGAACUGAGACACGGUCCAGACUCCUACGGGAGGCAGCAGUGGGGAAUUUUUGGCAAUGGGGGCAACCCUGACCAAGCAACGCCGCGUGGGUGAUGAAGUCUCUUGGGACGUAAAUCCCUUUCGACGGGGACGAAACCGCAAGGUUGACGGUACCCGUAGAAGAAGCCCCGGCUAACUCCGUGCCAGCAGCCGCCGUAA